AGUGGAAGCAUGCUCACUAAAGCCCCUAAUCUCUCUCCUCAGAAAGUGAAAACCACUCUCUAAGACUCCUCGCAGUCUGGCUGCCUCCGCAGAUAGGUCUGAGACCUCAGUGAUGCCCUCAUGUGGCUGUGGAUGGGCUAGAGCUAACACUUGCCUCUGCAAGUCAAAUACUCUGCCAGUCAGUCUCACUAUACAACCCUAAAGCUACUCGA
rnacentral:lncRNA from 1 species